rnacentral:rRNA from 1 species
AUACGUAGGGGGCGAGCGUUGUCCGGAAUGAUUGGGCGUAAAGGGCGCGUAGGCGGCCUGGUAAGUCCGGAGUGAAAGUCCUGCUUUUAAGGUGGGAAUUGCUUUGGAUACUGUCGGGCUUGAGUGCAGGAGAGGAAAGCGGAAUUACCGGUGUAGCGGUGAAAUGCGUAGAGAUCGGUAGGAACACCAGUGGCGAAGGCGGCUUUCUGGACUGAAACUGACGCUGAGGCGCGAAAGCGUGGGGAGC